UACCAGCACCCCGAGUGUUCGGGACGAUUAUUGGGCCUAAAGCAUCCGUAGCCGGUUUUACAAGUCCUCCGUUAAAUCCAGCUGCUUAACAGAUGGGCUGCGGAGGAUACUAUAAGACUAGGAGGCAGGAGAGGCAAGCGGUACUCAGUGGGUAGGGGUAAAAUCCGUUGAUCCAUUGAAGACCACCAGUGGCGAAGGCGGCUUGCCAGAAUGCGCUCGACGGUGAGGGAUGAAAGCUGGGGGUGCAAACCGG
rnacentral:rRNA from 1 species